AUGGAAGACCAGCGGGGUCAGACGAGGCCGCGCAAGAAGGCACGCAAGUCCAAGUCGCCGCCGGCGGUGGGCUCCGGGGGACUGACCGCGUUUGCGCUCCGCCUGGCCAAGAAGCUCGCCGAGGGCGACGACACCAGGGGCAGCAACAUCGCCUUCUCGCCCUUGUCCCUCUACACCACGCUCGGCUUGGUGGCCGCCGGAGCACGGGGUACAACACUGGACGAGCUCCUCGCCCUGCUCGGUGCCUCGUCGUCCCACGAGGUCGCCGGCUUCGUGCGUGGCCUCAGCGCCACUGAGCCGUCCGGCUCUGUUGGGGGGCCGCUCAUCACCUACGCCUACGGCGUGUUCCACCAGAAAAACAUGGAGCUCACGCCGGCCUACCUCCGCACCGCCGCCGAGUCCUACAAAGCUGAGAUAGGCGCCAUCGACUUCGCUCAGGAGGGCAGCAGGGAGAAGACGAGGAAGGAGAUCAACGAGUGGGCGGCGGCGGCGACGGACAAUCUCAUCCCGGAGAUCCUGCCGGAGGGGUCACUGUCCGACGGCUCGAGGCUCGUGCUCACCAACGCCAUCUACUUCAAGGGCGUGUGGGAGAGCCGCUUCCCGGAGGCCCUCACCGAGCACCGCACGUUCUACCGCCUGGGCGGCGCCAGCGCCGCCAUCAUCGUCCCCUUCAUGACCUUUUAUCCGGGACUGCACGACCUCUUCGUCUCCUACCACAAGGACUUCGACGUGCUCAAGCUCCCCUACAAGACCGGCGAUGGCACGGCCCGGUACUCGAUGUGCGUGUUCCUCCCGCACGCGCGUGGCGGGCUGCGCGCCAUGACCAACGCUCUGGCAGCCCGCGGCUCCCUGCUCGACCACGUGCCAAAGCAUACGAUCAAGGUGACUAAGCUCCUGCUGCCCAAGUUCAAGCUCUCCUUCUUCUGCCGCCUCGCCGAGGUGCUUGAGAGCCUGGGACUCCGGCAGGCGUUCAGCAAGGAGGCCGAUCUGUCCGGCUUGGUGGAGAGGAGCGUCUGCGACGUGCGCUUGGAUGAGGUGUUCCACAAGGCGGUCGUCGAGGUGAACGAGGAGGGCACCAAGGCGGUGGCCUGCACCGCCGUCAGUGGCCGUAGGAAGCAGUGUGCAAGGAGGGUGGCUCCGAGGGAGUUCGUCGCGGACCACCCGUUUGCGGUGUACAUAGUGGAGGAGGUGUCCGGGGCCGUGGUCUUUGCCGGCCAUGUCCUUGACCCUUCUUCUAGCUCACAGUAG
rnacentral:rRNA from 1 species